CACUCUUAUCCCUACACGAUGCUCUUCCAACCUUUGGCCAGUGAAGAGGAUUCAGAGAAAAUAAUACAACCAACCAUCAAUCUGAAAAAGGAGGGGCAACAGAGGGCACUGAUUAUGCGGUGGCUUCAAUGGUGCACUAUUUUGCCAGGUGGCCUGCCUUUCCGCAGUUGUAGCAGUUAGUUU